rnacentral:rRNA from 1 species
GACGAACGCUGGCGGCGUGCUUAACACAUGCAAGUCGAACGGAAAGGCCCUGCUUUUGUGGGGUGCUCUAGUGGCGAACGGGUGAGUAACACGUGAGUAACCUGCCCUUGACUUUGGGAUAACUUCAGGAAACUGGGGCUAAUACCGGAUAGGAGCUCCUGCUGCAUGGUGGGGGUUGGAAAGUUUCGGCGGUUGGGGAUGGACUCGCGGCUUAUCUGCUUGUUGGUGGGGUAGUGGCUUACCCAGGCUUUGCCGGGUAGCCGGCCUGAGAGGGGGACCAGGCACCUUGGGACUGAGGGAGGGAGCAGACUCCAACAGGAGGCAGCGGGGGGAAGUCUGGCACAAUGAGCGCGAGCCUAAGGCGACAACGCUCCGUGCGGGAUGAAGGCCUUGGGGUUGGAAACCGCGUAAGCUUGUGACGAAGCGUGAGUGACGUUAAUGGGUGAAGAAGCACCGGCUAACUACGUG